rnacentral:rRNA from 1 species
GACGAACGCUGGCGGCGUGCUUAACACAUGCAAGUCGAGCGGUAAGGCCCUUUCGGGGGUACACGAGCGGCGAACGGGUGAGUAACACGUGGGUGACCUGCCCUCAGCUCUGGGAUAAGCCUGGGAAACCGGGUCUAAUACCGGAUAUGACUCCAUGACGCAUGUUGUGGGGUGGAAAGCCUUGUGCGGCUGAGGAUGGGCCCGCGGCCUAUCAGCUUGUUGGUGGGGUGAUGGCCACCAAGGCGACGACGGGUAGCCGGCCUGAGAGGGCGACCGGCCACACUGGGACUGAGACACGGCCCAGACUCCUACGGGAGGCAGCAGUGGGGAAUCUUGCGCAAUGGGCGAAAGCCUGACGCAGCGACGCCGCGUGAGGGAUGACGGCCUU